rnacentral:rRNA from 1 species
AUGCUCAUGGACGACGCCCCACCACCCGCGGCCCAAACACUCGCGCUCGCCGUGGAGGACAAGGGGGCCAAGCGCGCGCGCAAGAGGAGCAGGUACCUCGACGACUACGAGACCCCCACCAUCCUCAGCGCCCUCCACGGCGGCGACACCCCGCCUCCAAGAAAGGGGGCGGCGAGCGAGGGCCCGGCGCUGCUCCUCCGGCUCCAGCAGGCCGACGUCGCCGCGCCCGACCUGCUCGCCGCGCUCCGCCGCUGCGCCGCAUCCCCCUACGACUACGAGCCCCUGGUGGGCAACGUCGACGCCGGCGCCCUCCUCGCCUUCUUCGCCCUCCACAGGGAAGCCUCCGCCUCCGUCUCCGUGCCCGCCACCGGCCGCGCCGGCAAGGACGACGCUGCCCUGGUCAGCAGCACAGGUCAGCAUCGCUCUAACGAAGCUCCUGCCACCGCCGCCGCUCGCCCGAAUCCAUGCCAGGCCAUGGCCGUCGCCGUCCCCCACGGAUCUGCCGGCAAGGAACAGGCCGGUGGCAUUGCCAUUGGACACGCACAAGCCCACCACCACGUUGGAGUUGGACCAACGAAUGCAGCAGCAGCAGCACCAGGAGGAGCCGGACCCAGCAAGAGGAGGAGGAAGAAGAAGGUGACAUUCGCACUCGGCGCGCCUACUAGUGCCGCCGACGCCGGUUGCUCUGCUCAACUCGCUGCCACCCACAACGGCGGCGCCGGUUCCGCACCCAAGAAGCCGGCCAAGAACAAGAAAGCUGUCAACGGGCAGCAGCAUUUCAGCAAGCCGGUGGCCCUCAUCCUGCAAUUCGCCCCGGGCACCGCCGCCGACCAGCUCCCUUCCAAGGAGCAGCUCCACUCCACACUCCGCGGCUUCGGGCCCCUGAUCGAGCCCAGCACCGAGAUCACCAAGAAGCAGGCACGCGUCGUGUUCCAGAGCGGCGCCGCGGCCGAGGCCGCCUACAGCUGCGUGCACACGCUCGGCCACUUUGCCGCGGCGCGGCUGCAGUACCUGCGCCCGCCGCCGCCCCCUCCAAAGAUCCCGCUGACAGACGUCCGGAAGAACCUUGAGAGGAUGAUCGCGUCCCUCACCGGCCCCUCUCUGCUCGGCAAGGAGGACAGCGCGUGGAGCCUCGCCGGAGAGAUGCAGCACCUGCUGGUCAAGGUCGACAGGGCGCUGAAUGCCGGCGGGGCAGGGCCUUCCACCUCAGUUGCUGCUCAUCGCCAUUGA